rnacentral:rRNA from 1 species
UCUGUAGUCUCCAAGCUGCACUACUACCUGCCCCUCUUGGGCUCCUUCCACAACUUCCUCCGGCUGCUCAAGCGCUCAUCCCGCCUGUUGUUUUCGAACCCCGACAAGGUUGUCAGGCCCAAUGUUGCGUUUCUGAGGGAGUGCGGGCUAGGUGAUUGUGAUAUUGCCAAGUUGUGUAUCCGUGUGCCGAGGUUGCUCACCACUAACCCAUAGCACGUCGGGGUGAUGGUCGCAUCUGCUGAAAGAUUAGGCGUGCCCCGCGGCUCUGGGAUGCUCAGGCAAGCACUGCAGGCUGUCGCGUUACUCAGCGAGGAGAAGAUAGCCGCCAGAUUGGAGUACUUGAAGAAUACAUUCAGCUGGUCUGAUGCCGAAGUGAGCAUUGUUGUGCGCAAGCAUCCUAGCGUGCUGAAAAAUUCAAAGGAAUCUCUGAAGAGCAGGUGCAAGUUCCUGUUAUCUGAGAUGGGGUUGGAACCGGUGUACAUUGCUCAUCGGCCGAUAAUUCUCAGUCUUAGCCUGGAGGGCCGGGUCAAGCCCCGGUACUAUGUUCUCAAGUUCCUCAAGGAAAAUGGGUUGGUAGACCGCGAGCUGAGCUUCCAUACUGCAGUCAAUAGGCCUGAGAAGUAUUUCGUGGAGAAGUACAUAUGCCCUUACAAGAAAGCCGCACCACACCUUGCUGCGGACUAUGCAACCGCUUGCAAAGGGGAGAUACCAACUAAUUUCUUGUUUAGAUGA